GGAGAGAGUGUAGAGAUAAGAGAGACGAUAGACGGUUUGGCCUUAUUAUGUCAUUUCGGAAUGGUGUUC
ensembl:ncRNA T04C9.9 ncRNA